UGGCUCAGUGGUUAAGAGCACUGGCUGUUCUUUCAGAGGUCCUGGGUUCAAUUCCCAG
rnacentral:tRNA from 1 species